CUUGGCAAUGGGAAGCAGUUUGAUUUCACCUUUUAAAUCAUGCUUUCAGUUGGGGAGGGCUCAGGGGAGAGCAAGCAGAAUCUUAGAGAAGCAGAAUUGUGCCAGGUUAGUGGGGGGUUCAAGGAAGUUUCACACACACUAGGUGAGCUACAAAACAUCCUGCAACUGUAGGAAGUUUACUGCCAAGCAGGAUGUGGGGGGUUUGGGUGCUUUGUUCACAUGCAAUCACUUUGUUCAAGCACAGGUACAAAAUGGCAUUGAGGCACAAGAUGGAGUCGGGUUGGCCAUCACACUAGCAGGAGCCCCAUUGUGCAGAGGAGGAAACAGGCUCAGACCUGCCCCCCAGCUAGUGGGAGGCAGUUUUUCUCACUGGAUUAUUGCCUUAGUCUGACUGGAUCACAGACAUCACUGAGGUGCUUGUAGGACAAGGACACAAGAUAAGGCAAGUCCUGAGCCCACAUCAGAGGGGAUGCCCCCCAACCUCGUCCCGGGAGAGAAAGGAAUUACCCCGCGUUCCUUUCCUUCUCUGGUGACAGACUGCCAGGCCAGGGGGCUCCCAUUGUCUCUGCUGUGCGGACUUGCAAAGAGGCUGCAAGGGUGAGCAUGGACACUGGAAAGCAGGUCCCAGGCAUCCCGCCUGGCUCCCCAACCUCUUCCCAGGCCCACUGAGGGCCUCUCCCAAAUAAAGUACACAUCCCCAGGUUUUCAUCUGGAGCCUGCUUCUGGGGAGCCCAGCCGAAAUAAUCACCUUCCUUGUCUUUAUUUCACUCAGUGCUCACAUCACUCCCUCCUUGUAACCCACAGGAAAAGGACACAGAAGCUCAGCGAAGUUUGGUUUGAACCCAGAUCUGGGAGCCCACACCCUGCAGUUCAGGCACCUAGGCCUUCUGGCCUCAGUAUUCCCAUCUGUUAAAUGGGGUUGCUUCCUUUCACAAAUCCCCAAGCUAAAAUGUCCAGGCCGCAUUGGAAUUUCCAUGCCUGCCUGCACUGUGCUAUAUAGCAGUAUAGCCUCAACUGCCACUAGUGAACACAAACAGCUGAUAAUUUCAAGUUCAGAAAUCUCAUCUCUCCCAAGAUGGCAAACUCUCAAGGGGGACAGUAUCCUCACCGCCUCUCCUUUCCCACCUUCUGUCCAGCACAGAACUAGGCACAAAGUCAAUGCUGAUUCAUCUCAGCAUGACUGGCCCAACAUGGGCCAAUCAGAUGCUUCCACCCUGGUCCUGCUAUCUUCAAGGUCCUUUAUGAAUUUGGAAGACAAGCUCCUGCCUUUCCUCCCUGCCAUGAAAAUCAGUAACCCUAGAGUGGAGAAGGUUUGGGGGAAUCCCUCUAGUCUGGCCAGUCCACAUGCUCAGGAUGAAGGGAGUCUCACUUCUGUGCCUGGGGAAAGGGGCUGUGCUGAGAUGUAUUCUGGGAAAACCCAGAAGUCUCCUUUCUGCUGCCUGUGCAGCUGUUAGAGCACAGAUUCUGGAGCUAGAUGGAUGAGGUUCUGAUCCCAGCCUUGCUGUGCAACCUUGCUGUGCAGCCUUGCUGUGCAACCCUUGCUGUGCAACCUUGAACAAGUCAUCCAACCUUUCUGUGCCCAUUUUCUUUUCUAUAAAAUAUGGUAACGAUAACACCCACCUGUUGGCAUUGCUGGGUGGACUUCAUGAGUGAAUAUAUAUGAAAUAUAUAUGAACAUGGCCAGGUGUCCAAUCAGUGCUAAGUACAUGCUGGCUCCUCCUGCUGUGGUUACUAUGACUACCAUUACAUCUUAAGUAGUAUAUGAUGCUCCUCUCUGAGGUUCUUUCUAGAUUUAAAGUGCUAUAAUGACACAAAAGGGAAAAUCUCACUCCAGGCAGGUGUAUCUGGAAUGUCCUACAGAUUCUGUAGGUUCCGGUAGUACUCCUGAACUUCUAAGGCCAAGUGUAUCCACUUGGUGAAAGCUACAGAAUUCAUUCUCUCUGACUCCCAAUGGUGAGUUCAGUGAUGCCCCACAUAUUAUGUCCAUAUCCUAACUGCCAGAGCUCGUGAAUAUAACUGAUUUGGAAAAAGGGUCUUUGCUGGUAUAAUUCAGUUAAUCUCACGAUGAGAUCCAGGGUCACCCAAGUGAGCCCCAAACCCAGCAGUAAAGAUGCUUAGAAGAGGUUACAGGUGGUGCAACACAGAGGAAAAGACCACAAGAAGCCAGAAGCAGCGGUGACACGGCCACAGGGCAAAUAAUGCCCAAGCCACUCACCAGAAGCCAAUGCUUCUGCUAUGUACCUGAGCCUGCUCGUUUCAUUUCCUGUGCUUGGGCAUUUCUUGCUCACAUGUUGCAAAGAUGCAUCACAGAAGUAGGCCAUAGCUCACCCCCGCCCCAAGCUGGCAACCAAAACAAAACACUCAGAUUCAAAUUUCCUAUGCCAAGGAUCAGGUGUUAUUUUGUAUUAAUUUAAACUAAAUUGUUGCAUAGUUCAGAUUUAAUGGGCACCUCCAGAUUAGGUGCUAAAGUUUGCAUGUUGGAGGCCCCACAAAGGCUCAUGUGCUAAAGGCCACCCCCAGAGUGGUGCCCCUGGGAGGGGCUGGAACCUUUAAGAGGUGUGGCCUAGUGAGGGGUACUUUGGUCACACAGGCGAACCCCCCAACCGGAACCGGACCUGGAGUGUGCUGCCACUUCCCCUUUCUCUUCCACUUUGACUUGUCUCCAUGAGGCAAGUGGUUUUUCUCUGCCACAUACACUCACCAUGAUGUGCCACUUGCCAAAGGCACAAAGCAGUAAGGACAACGUGGGGUAAUCAACCCUGGACUGGAACCUUGUAAACUAUGAACUGAUGUAUGUCAUUUCUCUUUAUAACACGAUCAUCUUACACAUUUGCUAUAUUAGAAGAAAGCUAAUAUGUUAACCAAUACACAUUUCUAAAAAUAUUCAGAAAAGGAAUUGAGGAGGGAACCAAACUGAUAUACCAAAGCAAAAUAAAAAACACGAAACAAUAACGGAAGAAAUGAGGAAAAACAAUAAAGACAUAAAACGUGAGAGACAAAGGUCAGUGUAAAUAAAUAUCAAUGGAAUAAAAUUUCCAAUUCAAAGGCUGGAUUGGAGAAUAGUAACAUGAUCUGACUCUAUACUGUCAGCAGGGCAUGCUGUUUAGAGCCUUAAACACAAAUAAGUUGAAAGUGAAAGAACGGAAGGCAUACUCCACACAACCAGUACCCAGAGAUAGAUAGCAAGAAUUUUAAGCCAAAAACUGCUACAAGAGACAAAAAAGGAUAUCAUAUUUAAAAGGGGGGCUAUCUGCCAGGCAUGGUAGUACACACCUGCAAUCCCAGCCACUUUAGGGGGUGAAGGCAGGAGGAUCCUAAGUUAUAACAAUAGAAUACAGCACUUACCUAGCAGUCCAAAGGCCGUGACUUCAGUCCCAAUACCACAGAUAAAGUGCAUGUGUGUAGGGAGAACUCAUCAAGAGAUAUAACGAUCAUAAGCAAAUCUGCAUCCAACCAUAGAGCUUCUAAUUACAUGAAGAAAAACUUGACAUUAUUGAAGAAGACACAAUUAAACAAUUAUAGUAGGAGAAUUCUAUACUGAAAAUUCAGAAUGAAUAUUUUAACCAGAAAGAAGAGCAAUAAGAAAAUAAAGAACUGGAAUAAAACUCUAAAGCAAUUAGACCUCAGAGAUAUCUAAUGUGCACCACUCAGGAGCCAAAAAAUAUGGAUUUUCCUCAAUUUUAUAUAAAAGUUUCUCUCAGUCAGACCCACAGGUUAGGCUCAGGCUCAGAAAAUUGUGAAAGCCAGAAGUCAUAUAAAGUAACUUCUCCUCCGCCUCCUCCGCCCCUCCGCCCCUCCUCCUCCUCCACCAGACAUCGCUGGCCCUCUUGCUCCUCCUCCUACUCACGAGCCUGCAGCCCCCUGUGAGUACACACACCCCCGCAGGCCCACCAGAAGUGAUUCUCAGCUGGGCCUCCACACAUCCCCAUAGGGCUCUCGGGCGCACCAGGGUGGAGGAAAUAUUGGGGCUACGCGGCUCCGAGUUCACCAUAAAAUGGGCGCCUGGGCAGCCCCUAGAAAGAAACUCAAGCAGGGCGCCGCUCACCCGCCACCUUCUGCAGCUCCCACCGCAGCCAACAGAAACAAGUUAGCAUGUGAAAGCGGGAAGAGCAGGAGGAAUUUUUUUUUUCUAAAAAAAGAACGUAAACAGCUGCCCCCUUCUACAUAGGGAGGAGGGAAGAGGCCCUACUUCAGAAAGUCACUUUUUCCGCUGACAAGCAAUCCCCCACCCGUUUGAGGCUCCAGGCUCUGGGCUCCAGGGCCUGGCCCCUGUCCUGGAGUGAAGCUAUAGCAGGGGCGUCUCCUUCCACCCACUAGACUCUGGCUGGAUGGGUGGGUGGCGAGUCAGGCUCCUGUCACAGACUCGUGCUAGCAAAAUGCAG
ensembl:lncRNA